UACGUAGGGGGCAAGCGUUGUCCGGAUUUAUUGGGCGUAAAGAGCGUGUAGGCGGCCAGGUAGGUCUGCUGUGAAAACUCGAGGCUUAACCUCGAGAUGUCGGCGGAAACCAUCUGGCUAGAGUCCGGAAGAGGAGAAUGGAAUUCCCGGUGUAGCGGUGAAAAUGCGCAGAUAUCGGGAAGAACACCCGUGGCGAAGGCGGUUCUCUGGGACGGUACUGACGCUGAGACGCGAAAGCGUGGGGAGCGAACAGG
rnacentral:rRNA from 1 species